CACUUGAUGUACUCCGUCAUCCCACACUAAAGAAGCAGAGACCAUGAUAGCUUCUAAUUCUAACUUCCCUUCAACAUUGAGAGCAAAAGAUAACUUCUCAUUAAGAGAGGUAAAUGAUAGGAUGCUAGGAUUCACUUGGAUUUUAAAUCCAUGUGGGAAGUCAUUGUAGCUUUGUAUGUGGAAGUUGGUGAGCCAAUAUUUGUGACAAUCCUAUUAUAGACACGGCUAAUGAACUCUGAGGGUGAAAUAGAAAGUGCAAAGGAAGGAUAGUUCAGAUCCCAAACUGUUCCAUUAGUUGAGCAGCUGCUGUUGUCCCCCGUAACCAUUUGUAGAAGACUGCUAUUGUGUCCUUGUCCACACAAAAAUUUUAUGUAGUCGAUUGGCUCUGCAUCGUAGAUCAAUCCUGGAUUAAUAGCCUUAGCAGGAUUUAUAUGUCCAGCGCCAUAUGCAAAUUCAGCUUCAGAGUUGAUUUUAGAAUUCAUUGGAAAAGAUGUAGUCAUAAGAGCAGAUUUGAGGGCAGCAGGAGACCAUGUUGGGUGAUACGAUUUGACAUAAGCAGCAGCCCCAGUUGCAUGCGGGCAAGCCAUUGAAGUUCCUGAGAUUAUAUUAUAUGGUACUCUUCUAUUAUCCUCUGGAAUUUCUGUAACUGAACGAAGUAAUGACCAAGAAGCUAGAAUGUCAACUCCUGGGGCAGAAAUAUCAGGCUUGAGAAUAUCUCGAGUAAUUGGAUUUGGACCUCUUGAUGAAAAUGCAACCACAUAAGGGGCCAAUGAAUUCUUUGCCUGGUUACUUUUAUAUAUAGUGGCAGAUGCGAUUCCUGUUGAGUUUAUGUAGGAAAGAAUGCUGCUACCCUCGUCAUGUCCAAGACAAGAAGCAGGCAAUGGAAAAGACUCAGCAACAUCUUUAGCGCCGUGGUAUUGCGUUACAAUGCCAGCUGCACCAGCCAAGAAUGCAGAUACACCAGAAUCCAGUUCAUCGUAAACAAUUUUGCCCUUCACUAAACUUGAGUCCAAUAACCUGGGCCUAGAACCUGUAAAAUUUCCUUUGGUGUUCGGAGCAUUUUCUCUAUAGAUUAUUGGAAGCAUGGUAUUAUUUAGAUCAAAUGUGUUUAUG
rnacentral:misc_RNA from 1 species